rnacentral:rRNA from 1 species
UACAGAGGUCCCAAGCGUUGUUCGGAUUCACUGGGCGUAAAGGGUGCGUAGGCGGUCGGGUAAGUCUGACGUGAAAUCCUGCGGCUCAACCGCAGGCGGUCGUGGGAAACUGGGUGGCUAGAGUGCGGGAGAGGAGAGUGGAAUUCCUGGUGUAGCGGUGGAAUGCGCAGAUAUCAGGAAGAACACCCGUGGCGAAGGCGGCUCUCUGGAACGCAACUGACGCUGAGACGCGAAAGCGUGGGGAGCAAACAGG